UUGCAGUUAAAAAGCUCGUAGUUGGAUUUCGGUUGAGAACGGCCGGUCCGCCGUUUGGUGCGCACUGGCUGGUUUCAACUUCCUGUAGAGGACGCGCUCUGGCUUCACGGCUGGACGCGGAGUCUACGUGGUUACUUUGAAAAAAUUAGAGUGUUCAAAGCGGGCUUACGCUUGAAUAUUUCAGCAUGGAAUAACACUAUAGGACUCCUGUCCUAUUUCGUUGGUCUCGGGACGGGAGUAAUGAUUAAGAGGAACAGUUGGGGGCAUUCGUAUUUCAUUGUCAGAGGUGAAAUUCUUGGAUUUAUGAAAGACGAACUUCUGCGAAAGCAUUUGCCAAGGAUGUUUUCAUUAAUCAAGAACGAAAGUUGGGGGCUCGAAGAUGAUUAGAUACCAUCCUAGUCUCAACCAUAAACGAUGCCGACUAGGGAUUGCAGGAUGUUAAUUGAUGACUCCUGCAGCACCUUAUGAGAAAUCAAAGUUUUUGGGUUCCGGGGGGAGUAUGGUCGCAAGGCUGAAACUUAAAGGAAUUGACGGAAGGGCACCACCAGGCGUGGAGCCUGCGGCUUAAUUUGAUUCAA
rnacentral:rRNA from 1 species